CAGACUCCUACGGGAGGCAGCAGUGGGGAAUAUUGCACAAUGGGCGCAAGCCUGAUGCAGCGACGCCGCGUGGGGGAUGACGGCCUUCGGGUUGUAAACUCCUUUCGCUAGGGACGAAGCUUUUUGUGACGGUACCUAGAUAAGAAGCACCGGCUAACUACGUGCCAGCAGCCGCGGUAAUACGUAGGGUGCGAGCGUUGUCCGGAAUUACUGGGCGUAAAGGGCUCGUAGGUGGUUUGUCGCGUCGUCUGUGAAAUUCCGGGGCUUAACUCCGGGCGUGCAGGCGAUACGGGCAUAACUUGAGUACUGUAGGGGUAACUGGAAUUCCUGGUGUAGCGGUGAAAUGCGCAGAUAUCAGGAGGAACACCGAUGGCGAAGGCAGGUUACUGGGCAGUUACUGACGCUGAGGAGCGAAAGCAUGGGUAGCGAACAGGAUUAGAUACCCUGGUAGUCCAUGCCGUAAACGGUGGGCGCUAGGUGUGAGGGUCUUUUCACGACUUUCGUGCCGUAGCUAACGCAUUAAGCGCCCCGCCUGGGGAGUACGGCCGCAAGGCUAAAACUCAAAGGAAUUGACGGGGGCCCGCACAAGCGGCGGAGCAUGUGGAUUAAUUCGAUGCAACGCGAAGAACCUUACCUGGGCUUGACAUACACCAGAUCGCUGCAGAGAUGUAGUUUCCCUUUGUGGCUGGUGUACAGGUGGUGCAUGGUUGUCGUCAGCUCGUGUCGUGAGAUGUUGGGUUAAGUCCCGCAACGAGCGCAACCCCUAUUGUUAGUUGCCAUCAUUCAGUUGGGCACUCUAGCGAGACUGCCGGUAAUAAACCGGAGGAAGGUGGGGAUGACGUCAAAUCAUCAUGCCCCUUAUGACCUGGGCUACACACGUGCUACAAUGGACAAUACAAAGGGCAGCGAAACCGCGAGGUCAAGCAAAUCCCAUAAAGUUGUUCUCAGUUCGGAUUGUAGUCUGCAACUCGACUACAUGAAGCUGGAAUCGCUAGUAAUCGCGAAUCAGAAUGUCGCGGUGAAUACGUUCCCGGGUCUUGUACACACCGCCCGUCACACCAUGGGAGUUGGGUUUACCCGAAGGCAGUGCGCUAACCGUAAGGGGGCAGCUGACCACGGUAGGCUCAGCGACUGGGGUGAAGUCGGAACAAGGUAGCCGUACUGGAAGGUGCGGCUGGAUCACCUCCU
rnacentral:rRNA from 1 species